AACUUUGUACUGAUUCUAUAAGUUAACAUAGGUCAAACUUACAGCAUGGUGAUCUUAGUAAGAAGAAGGAAUUAUAGGAAAACAUGCUUCUAACUAACCCAGCAAGAAGUAUUAAACUAUAUUUGAAAUAAUAAUUUAAUUUAGCCUAUUAACCUGGACUAAUUAGGUGCCAGCAGUCGCGGUCACACCUGACAGGUGAGUUAACUCUCUUAGGUCAGCUUCAGAAAAAAUUUUUUAUAAUUAGGUGAAAUUUUUAUAAAAACUUAUACUAUUGUUCUAAUAUUAUGCUUAAGCUCUGAAGAUAAACUAGGAUUAGAUACCCUACUAUAUAGAGUAUAAAUUUUAGACCUAAGCACUAUGACUAAAAAGUUAAAACUUAAACUACAUGGCGGCAACUAGAAAUUUCAGGGGAACUUGCCAGGUAAAUGAUAAUCCUCAAAAUAACACUACUUCUAUUUAUAGUUUGUAUAUCGCCGUCUUCAGCAUUCAUUUUAGAUGAAUUCAAAAUGUUAACAAACAAAAAGACAGGUUCUGAUGCAGCCAAUAUAGAAGUCUCAGGUGAGUUACAAUAAGAAAUUUGUUUAGAUCUGUUUUGAAAAGAAACACUAAAACUGGACUUGAUAGUAACAUCUAUAAUAAACAUUUCUUGAAUAUUAAACCUAGCUGUGCACAAAUCGCCCGUCACUUUCGUUGAAAAAUGAAAUAAGUCGUAACACAGUAGGUGUACCGGAAGGUGUACCU
rnacentral:ncRNA from 1 species